CCUACGGGUGGCAGCAGUCGGGAAUAUUGCGCAAUGGAGGAAACUCUGACGCAGUGACGCCGCGUGCAGGAAGAAGGUUUUCGGAUUGUAAACUGCUUUAGACAGGGAAGAAAAAAGACAGUACUUGUAGAAUAAGCUCCGGCUAACUACGUGCCAGCAGCCGCGGUAAUACGUAGGGAGCAAGCGUUAACCGGAUUUAUUGGGUUUAAAGGGUGCGUAGAGGGAGAAACAAGUUAGUUGUGAAAUCCCCCGGCUUAACCGAGGAACUGCAACUAAAACUACUUCCCUUGAGUGCUGGAGAGGAAAGUGGAAUUCCUAGUGUAGCGGUGAAAUGCGUAGAUAUUAGGAGGAACACCAGUGGCGAAGGCGACUUUCUGGACAGUAACUGACGUUGAGGCACGAAAGUGUGGGGAGCAAACAGGAUUAGAUACCCUGGUAGUC
rnacentral:rRNA from 1 species